CCCACCCCCGGCAUCUGCUUAGCGAGGCUUUCCGAGGAGUCAAGGGAUUCCUUGAUCGCGUUAGGCAAAAGUUUCAAAAAUUUUCAGAGGCUGAUCCAAAUUUGCAGCCCCUCAGGGGUGAAGACAGAGAGAAAACUUCAAUCCCUCACUUCCAUUUCUUUUGGAGGGAAGAGGAAUGACACUUCUGCAGGACUGACAGCCUCAAGCCAUCAAAAGCAAGCCAGACUGAUGAAAUUCACGUUGUCUGUAUCUCCUACCGUAUUUGUGUGCAAAGAUGCUUCAAGAAAACACAAGGUGAAUUAUUUAUGUAAGGUUUACCAGCCGUUGCAAUCAGUGUAAGAUCAUCCUCCUUUCAGGUUAUGAUACAGAAACAGUCCCCGCCCAGACUCAGAAACUCUGUUUCAUCCUAGAAGAGUCCUCCCUGUGGGAUGUGUGCCACCAUGGUGACGAGCCAUCACCACCUCCAUGUCCCUGCCAUGGAGGCAGUGAGCUGGAAUUGGAACGCUUUGUUACACUGCUUCUCAUAGCAUGCAUUGGAUUCUGAAACAUUGCAUCCAGCACGUGAUCCAAGGUGGGGGACAGGAAUAUAUACAAUGGACAGAAAUGAAAAAGGAUAAACUUGGGGGUGGGGGUUGAGGAAGGUGGAAUUUCAGCCAGGUGAAUAUAAAAGGCCAAUAACCAGAACAGCUGUGUCCAUUUGCAUGAAUCCCAUUGGCAGCAUGUACAUUACACUGGUGAAAAAAUGAACAGAGAUGGUAGAUGCCGUCAUCCUCCCAAAGGACCACAGAGUUUAAGGGGACAUUCACAUUGCCUGGACUGAACCGCUUCUAAAAAAAUAUGCCAGGUUGAUCGGGAGAGUAUUACACUUCCUUCCUUCUGGCAGACCAGUAUACAGCUGGGAUAGCAAGAUGAUGCGCCACAGCAUGUAAACUGAGAUGGGAGCAGUUGAUUAAUUGCAACUGAGACCUCUGUAGGUAUAUAUUCUGAUGCUCUUUUACCCAGUCCUGUUGUUUUGAUUUUAUUUACGUUAAUUUUAUUUUUUAUUUCAUCUUUUGGUUGUAAUAAAAUUCAUUCUUUGGUUUCUUCCAUGGUUAGAGGAAGAGAUUUAUUUGAGAAGAUGUGUCUGUUAUGGGAAACAUCCAAGUACUGCAGCGGUGUUUCAGGGUAGGAGAGUGGGCAGGUAUAAGUAAGCAGAAACAAGAAUGAAAGCCGUCAAAACUCUUACUUUUCUGUUCCUGGUUUAUGACUUUUAACAUUUUCGACUCUGCUUCUCCUACAAACAUAACUCAAGGGGUCUUACAGCAAAGACUUAUAACAAUGAAACAUAACAAGUCAUCAAAAUCAGACUCAGCAGCAAAAAACAAAGCAUUGAGCACAGAUAGCAGAGUCAAAGGGCACUUCCAGAUGGGCUAUUAAGUUGGGAUUGUUCACCCACAUUUGCGAGGGAGGUCACACAACAGCAGCAUCUAUCUCUAUUUUCUAUAUCGGACCUCUGAAAAGUAUACAGUGUACUGUGCUUGAUUGGCCAGCAAACUCGCCUGACCUGACCCCAUAGAGAAUCUAUGGGGCAUUGCCAAGAGAAGGAUGAGAGACAUGAGACCAAACAAUGCAGAAUUGCUGAAGGCCGCUAAUGAAGCAUCCUGGUCUUCCAUAACACCUCAUCAGUGCCACAGGCUGAUAGCAUCCAUGCCACGCCGCAUUGAGGCAGUAAUUGCUGCAAAAGGGGCCCAAACCAAGUACUGAAUACAUAUGCAUGCUUAUACUUUUCAGAGGUCCGAUAUUGUUCUAUUCUACAAUCCUUGUCUUCUUGGUUCCAUGUAAUAUUCUAAUUUUCUGGGAUUGUGGAUUUGGGGUUUUCAUGAGCUGUACGCCAUGAUCAUCACAAUGAUAACAAAUUAAGGCUUGACUUAUCUCGCUUUGCAUGUAAUGCGUCUGUCUCAUAUAUCAGUUUCACCUUUUAAUUUGCAUUACUGAAAUUAAUGGACUUUUGCACAAUAUUCUAAUUUUCCGAGUUUCACCUGUACUGGCAUGUGGAAGAAACAUCACAAUUCUGGAGCUACAAGGAGCACAUCUAGAAGGGCCCCAAAACGAGGCCUGCCAGGAUCACAGCACCUUGGCCAAAAGCCGGUUUGAAAAACCAAAUCUUUUUAUACAAUUAGUAUAGUAUAGGAAGGAACACAGUGACAAAGCAGUUUUGUAUAGGAGAGAGAGAGAGAGAGAGAGAGAAAUCCUUGAAGGUGCUUUCUCUAUGUUUAGUCUUUUGUAAAAUCCCUGCUAGACUUUUACAUUCCCCAGUACAGCCAUGCCUGCUUUUGAGCUAGCAACUUGUGCAACUCAGAUGUUGCUUUGCUUCCCAUCAUAGCAUGCAACAUGAAGCACAAAAUUCUCUACUGAAUUAUGGGCAAUAAUCAUGGAAGAAGAGAUAGCCAAUUUAUGGCAUUCAAAACUAAUUCAUUUGCAGGAUCUCCAGCCACACAAGUUUUAAAAUCUCUGAGUUAAGCAAAAUGAAGAAUUUGUCUCUUCUUCGGGAAGGUGCAGUAUUCAGUGCAGCAGUCCUGUACAAUAGUACAAACGUGUUGGGUUUUUUUAAAACCAGUUUAACUGUCUGGCUUACCUCCCAAAAAUCUGGAAAUUGUAGUUUCAUGAUCGUUCUGAGAAUUUCCCACUAAAGAUUCCAAACAUCCUCCUCAGAACUGAAGUUUUCAGAGAAGAGGCAUUACGCCCAUUCAAGUCUAUGGUAAAGAUAUGCCCUAUAGUCCUUUGAAAACUUACCUUUCACCAUUUUUAUUUUUAUUUUUGCUCCCCAUCCCCAAAAGUAGUGCAUUUGCCAUUGGCACAAUUCUUUGCACAGUUAUAGAACAAGAGCAAAUGAGUGCCACUCAGAGCCACAUUAUCCAUGGCACUUAAUCUCCAUGUUCAGAAACUGCUUCGUGCAGAGGGGGAUAGUGAGGUGGAGUAUAGGGUCAACUCUAGACGUGACAGCAGGUUAUUUGUGACCGGAGCUUCCAUGUUUGCUUUAUUCUUUUUUAAAAAAAGAACAGCAGGGUGGGUGGAGAUGAAGGUUGCAGACCUACAGGACUGGUGUGUGUGGGGUUGGGGUGGGGUAACACAUUCUCAUGCCUCAUCUCCUGAUUCUUCCCUGCAUCCUGCCUCUGAACAUGAAGGUACCAUGUAGCCAUCAAGACAAGUAGUCUUUGGUAAUUCACCUUCCAUUGUCUAAGCCCCUUUUAAAGCCAUCCAAGCUGGUGGCAAUCAGCACAUCCAGCAGCAGAAAAAUUCCAUAGAUUAAUUAUGUGCUGUGUGGGGAAAGUACUCUCUUCUAUCUCUGCAAAAUUUCCUGCCAGCUAGUUUCAUGGGAUGACCCCGGUUUCUAGUGUUGUGUGUGUGAGAGAGAAAUUUCUUUCAAAUGAAUGAAUGAAUCAUUUAUUUCUAUCGUUGAUCAGAAUAAGAAUUUUUUUUCUGCUUCCACUCUCUCCACUCUGUGCAUAAUUUUACAAACCUCUCUUCUUAGCUGCUUUCCCCCCUAAACUAAAAAGCCACAAAUGUUAUGGCCGUUCCUUGUCAGGCGGAUGCUCUAGCCCCCUGAUUGUUUUGAUUGCCCUCUUCUGUACCUUCUCCAGUUCUAUAAUAUUCUUUUUGGAAUCUAGUGACCAGAACUGUAAAUGGUGCACUUCAUGGUGCACUUUAUUUCAUAGGUUCCAACUGACCCCGCUUACCCCGCUUACUCUCUAUUUUCUGGAAUCUGUCCCUGUUUUGUUCCUGGUUUUGCCUCUGAGGAUGCUGUGUUCAAUUUUGUUUCAUGUGAGUUGCUAGAGUUGUCACUUUACCAGAUUCAACUCCCAGCCCACUCUCUCUAGAAACUAAAUAGCCACGUGGGUGGAAGGAUGCUAAAGCCCUAUGCAGCACCCAGCAUAAGUGGAAUCCGAUCUUCUUCAGCAAUAUGCAGGACUUCAUUACCUGCUUCUUUCUGUUUGUGCCAUGUUUUUAAUCAGAACCAUAUCCACACCUCUCAGGCUGCAAGGCCACACCCCUUUCACAUUCACAGGCUUGUCCCUGUUUUCAUCAGUGACCUGUUGAAAAGUGUGCUGCUUGCCUUGACCAAAAAAUGCAAUAAAAUGAAAAGAGCCGCUCCCCAGCACUAGUUAGUAUUGGGGAGAGAUUCUUUCAUUGCCAUUCACCUACUCUCCCCUUUGCACUUGUGCACUUGUGAAGUAGUUUGUCACAAUUAGUCACAAGGUGUGCCACACAGUGUUUCACAAUAGUCACAAGGUGUGUAACAAGGUGUGACUAUUGCCACACUUAAAAUGUUCACACAUUUGGAUUUUUUUCCAUCUCUCUCUCUCUCUCUCAUAUCUGUGAAUAUCCAGUCAAAGGGAAACUUGAAUAACUUCUCCAUUUCUCUUGUGCAGCAAUCAGCAGCAACUGAUCUAAAUCAUUAAAUGUGUGAUCUCAUGUAUCUGCAAGUGGUGAUCCCACCUGCUUCACCAGCACAAUUGCAUUCAUCAGAACAGUCCCUGGCUGAUUACUGAAUGCUCAACUUAACUCUGCCACCUUGUGGUUAUCUACAGAUACAAAAUGCAGUCUAACCGCCAGAGAAUGGAAAAGAUGCGGCGGAAAGAUACUAGAAACUAUCAGGAGUGACUCAUGAAGAUAAACUCUCAACAAAAAUUUCCCCGAGAUACAGUUGCUAUGGAAAACAGGUAAUGUAUCUAGGUUUUUUGUGCCUCAGAGAGUGUAUUUAACACUGAAUGCAGUUCAACACUAUCUACCUCAGUAAAGGUAAAGUGUGCCAUCAAGUCAAUUUCAACUCCUGGCGCUCACAGAGCCCUGUGGUUUUCUUUUGGUAGAAUACAGGAAGGGUUUACCAUUGCCUCCUCCCACGUAGUAUGAGAUGAUGCCUAUCAGCAUCUUCCUAUAUCCCUGCUGCCCGGGGAUUCGAACCGGCAACAUUCUGCUUGUUAGUCAAGCAUUUCCCUGCUGUGCCACUUAAGGUGGUCAGUACCUCAGUAGUAAUCCCUUUAUUGGGAUUCCUUGUCAGCUGUAGGCUUGUGGCCAUCCCUCCUAGGGCAAAUAUCAGCUGCAUGCCAUGGGAGUGUACAUGAUACAGACUGGGACCAUGACAGAGGCAAAAAUGUAUAAAUCCCCUCCUGUCAUGCUGUGGUUCCAGUCCAGAUCCCGCUGUGGCUACUAUACAGAAAACAAGUAGUUUCUAUGAACAUAGGAAGCUGCCUUCUACCAAGUCAGACCAUUUGUCCAUCUAGCUCAGUAUUGUCUACACAGACUGGCAGUGACUUCUCCAAGGCUGCAGGGUAGGCAAGAAUCUCUCCCAGCCCUAUCUUGGAGAUGCCAGGGAGGGAACCUGGGACCUUCUGUAUGCAAGCAUGCAGGUGCUCUUCUCAGAACGGACCCAUCCCCCAAGGGGAAUGUCUUACAGCGCUCACACAUGUAGUCUCCCAUUCAAAUGCAAACCAGGGUGGGCCCUGCUUAGCAAAGGGGACAAUUCAUGCUUGCUGCCACAAGACCAGCUCUCCUCCCCAAAACUAAUGGUGUGAAUAAUGAAUGAAUGAACUAAUGGAGUGAACAUAGUGAAUGAAUGAACCAAUGGAGCCUACUUUCCACUUCUUUCAGUG